GAAGUGGCAGCAGCAGUUGUUCCUGUGGUGUGGGCCAGUGGAACUGCAGGAGAGUGGAAGAGGGCAGAACCUGUAGGAAUUACCCCUAAGCCAGAGUCUGUACUGGUAAGGCAAAGUCAGUAUCCUUUAAAAUUAGGAAGCCAAGCUGGAUUGGUUCCAGGUAAGAGCCGAGUUUGCUCCUCAUGGUUUGAUAGUAGAAUGUGAAUGCAAGGACCUGUAGGGAAAGCAAAUGACAAAGAUGAUUGAUUGCUGGGAGCAGGGGCUGACAGACAGUGGCACUGGAUGUUUGGUUGUGGUGGGGAAUGAGCAGCUUGACCUGCCCAGGGUUGUCUGUGCUGGGGGUGGGUUUGGGUCCUGUGUGGCCACAGGUCUGUGCAGCAGCUGGAGCCUGGGCAGGUUUGGGGGCUGUGGUGUCCCAGGCUCCUGAGUUUGUUGUCCCUGUUUCCUUGGAGUGUCCCAGUGUCCCUGCUUGGCUGUUUGUUGCCCUGCAGGCAGAAGAGCCCAGGCCUGAGAUGGCUGAGUGUUGGUGUGAGCCACAGUGGGUGUCCCUGCCCUGGGGACAGUCCCCAGAGCUGCCUUUGGCAUCCCCUGCUGAAGGGUGGGAGCUGCCCAGAGCCAGCAGCAUCCAGCUGGAGGAUCCAGGAGGAUGCAGCUCCUGUUGUCUGGGAGGUGUUGACUCAAUACCUUUAUGGGAGCUGCUCUUGGAUGAAGAGGUGCCCCCAGUUCACCUGGAAGGUCCUGGUUUUCUUCCCUGCUUCUCCCAGCUUGUCCAGGAGAUGGAAUUCCAGUGCUAGAGUCUAGAUGGGUCGUGGUGGUCCCAAAAGGAGCCUUUGUGCCUUCAGGGAGAAACUGGGGCAAGCGGGCAGGAAGAAGAGAAGCCCCG